GACGAACGCUGGCGGCGUGCCUAAUACAUGCAAGUUGAGCGAUGAAGCUUGGUGCUUGCACCAAUUUGAAGAGCAGCGAACGGGUGAGUAACGCGUGGGGAAUCUGCCUUUGAGCGGGGGACAACAUUUGGAAACGAAUGCUAAUACCGCAUAACAACUUUAAACAUAAGUUUUAAGUUUGAAAGAUGCAAUUGCAUCACUCAAAGAUGAUCCCGCGUUGUAUUAGCUAGUUGGUGAGGUAAAGGCUCACCAAGGCGAUGAUACAUAGCCGACCUGAGAGGGUGAUCGGCCACAUUGGGACUGAGACACGGCCCAAACUCCUACGGGGGGCAGCAGUAGGGAAUCUUCGGCAAUGGACGAAAGUCUGACCGAGCAACGCCGCGUGAGUGAAGAAGGCUUUCGGAUCGUAAAACUCUGUUGGUAGAGAAGAACGUUGGUGAGAGUGGAAAGCUCAUCAAGUGACGGUAACUACCCAGAAAGGGACGGCUAACUACGUG
rnacentral:rRNA from 1 species